CGGCGGACGGGUGAGUAACACGUGGGCAACCUGCCUCAUAGAGGGGAAUAGCCUUCCGAAAGGAAGAUUAAUACCGCAUAACAUUGUUGAAAGGCAUCUUUUAACAAUCAAAGGAGCAAUCCGCUAUGAGAUGGGCCCGCGGCGCAUUAGCUAGUUGGUGAGGUAACGGCUCACCAAGGCGACGAUGCGUAGCCGACCUGAGAGGGUGAUCGGCCACAUUGGAACUGAGACACGGUCCAGACUCCUACGGGAGGCAGCAGUGGGGAAUAUUGCACAAUGGGGGAAACCCUGAUGCAGCAACGCCGCGUGAGUGAUGAAGGUCUUCGGAUUGUAAAGCUCUGUCUUUAGGGACGAUAAUGACGGUACCUAAGGAGGAAGCCACGGCUAACUACGUGCCAGCAGCCGCGGUAAUACGUAGGUGGCAAGCGUUAUCCGGAUUUACUGGGCGUAAAGGGAGCGUAGGCGGAUAUUUAAGUGGGAUGUGAAAUACCCGAGCUUAACUUGGGAGCUGCAUUCCAAACUGGAUAUCUAGAGUGCAGGAGAGGAGAAUGGAAUUCCUAGUGUA
rnacentral:rRNA from 1 species